ensembl:lncRNA
CACACACACACACACACACACACACACACACACACACACACACACACACACACACACACACACACACAAUAUCCCAGAACCCAAAACAAACAUGGACCACGAUGUUAAUAUUUUUCUCUCAAACUUUCGAGCGCUCUCCUCUCUCUGCCGCUCUGUUAUGUCGCCGCCGUACUCCAAAAACGCUUUUGAGAUUCCGAUAACCCCCCUGUGCGCCCCCCAAACCGACAUUCAGCCUGACUGCAGCACUUCGUAGACGAAUGUUCGGGAACAGUCUUCGGAAGUGCCUGAGCGAGCGCAGAGCAGGGCGGUAUCGGACGUGUUCGAAUUUUAAAUCCGAAAUUCGUAGAUAUUAGCGUUUUAGCUUUUUGAUUAUUUAUUUUGUACGUGUAAAAGAAUAGUGUCUGUGUCGCAGGGCCCAGGUUUUAAUGUAUUUUUUUUUUUUUUCUGUCAUUUGAACUGAAAAGAUGUGAAUGUCCAUCUACUGUAUUGUCUCUACUGUGAAGGCUGUUUUUUCAUCGGUUCGGUGCGGUUCCACCCUGAACCUCAGUGAUCUUGCUCAUUUAUCUUUUUUGUAAAGCACUGACUGUAGCCUGAUGCUUUUUAAGACCUUUUAUUUAUUUUUUACAAAGUGUGUUCAAAGGCGUGGGUUGCGGAAAAAUCUCCAUUUGAAGUGAAAUAAGUACGUGAACCCUGUUUUAAUUUCUAUGUUUUACGGCUCAUUUGAAGGUGCGUGUGUGUGUGCGUGCCUGAGAGAUUUGUAUGCGUUCAAGGAAGGAUUAUUCUUGAAUGAAGCUUGACCAAACUCAAAAUGUGUCGUCAGUUUUAUCUUCACACUUGCUGUCAUUUUGUUUGUAAUUUUAUCGUUAUGUUUUCUCCCUAUCUGUCAUCAGGUCACUUUUAAGUUUCACGAUCUUUGUCAAGAUGUCGGACUACACGGGCAGCUCCCUCUAGGAUUCAUCCAACUUUUGUGUAACAAUGUUUGACUUCAAGUCAUUUUGGGUAGCACAAAACAGUACAUUUUCCAUCCAUUAUUAAUCGUAUUUAUGUUCUUCGCUCAGAUGAUCAAUCGUGUCAUGCGACCGAGAUCAAUCCUCCAUACAGAACCGAACCACCGCAAUGUAUGCUUCCACCCGUGGCUGCAUUCAUAAUGGUGACGAGUGGGGUCCCAGUCCUACUUUUUCCGGCAUGUUCUAUGGCGGACUAUGCAAACCAACCAGGAUAUUCCAUUUAAAAUUUGGCGCAAUUCUUCGUUUUUUUAUUUGUAUUUCCGUGACUUUAUGACAUUCUUCUCGUGUCUCUCUCGGCCCCAAUUUCAGCCUUUUUUUAACACAAUGGCGGCCAUUUCGGACGAGACGAGGCUUGCGUGGCCUCUUGCUGUGUUCUUAGGGUAAUGUGUUCAUGAAAUGGCUGCCCAAAAGCUGCUGUCUUUUAUGUUUCCUGUCAAAUCUUAAAGAAAACACACUAUUGGCCUUAAUGAGUAAAAAGUGUUCAACAUUUUGAUGAAUAAAAAGGUGUGAUUGAAGCGUGUGCGAUUGCAAUACCAGGGUCAGUGACUGGUUUCCUACUCUUAAUAAAAUGUAAUGACAUGAA